rnacentral:rRNA from 1 species
CCUACGGGUGGCAGCAGUGAGGAAUAUUGGUCAAUGGGCGCGAGCCUGAACCAGCCAAGUCGCGUGAGUGAAGACGGUCCUAUGGAUUGUAAACCUCUUUUGUCGGGGAGCAAACGACGCCACUCGUGGCCUUCCGAGAGUACCCUACGAACAAGCAUCGGCUAACUCCGUGCCAGCAGCCGCGGUAAUACGGGGGAUGCGAGCGUUAUCCGGAUUUAUUGGGUUUAAGGGGUGCGCAGGCGGAAGAUCAAGUCAGCGGUAAAAUUGCGGGGCUCAACCUCUUCGAGCCGUUGAAACUGGUUGGCUUGAGUGAGUGAGAAGGAGGCGGAAUGCGUGGUGUAGCGGUGAAAUGCAUAGAUAUCACGCAGAACUCCGAUUGCGAAGGCAGCAUACCGGAGCUCAACUGACGCUCAUGCACGAAAGUGUGGGUAUCGAACAGGAUUAGAUACCCCUGUAGUC